GGUUUAUGUUGGGGUGGUGUGGUCGGAGAUCCGGCCUUCUUUUGACGUUUCAAUUGCUGGGUGUAACUGUUUUCUUUUACAGAGAUUCCUUUUAAAUUUGGUCUUUUGUGGUUUGGUGCUCUCCA